UGGAAUUCUAUAUAACCUAGUGGCGGACGGGUGAGUAACACGUGAGCAACCUGCCUAUCAGAGGGGGAUAACGAUUGGAAACGAUCGCUAAUACCGCAUGACAUAGCGAAACCGCAUGGUUUUGCUAUCAAAGAUUUAUCGCUGAUAGAUGGGCUCGCGUCCGAUUAGAUAGUUGGUGAGGUAACGGCUCACCAAGUCGACGAUCGGUAGCCGGACUGAGAGGUCGAACGGCCACAUUGGGACUGAGACACGGCCCAGACUCC
rnacentral:rRNA from 1 species